rnacentral:rRNA from 1 species
UACAGAGGUCUCAAGCGUUUGUUCGGAUUCAUUGGGCGUAAAGGGUGCGUAGGCGGCGCGGUAAGUCGGGUGUGAAAUCUCGGGGCUUAACUCCGAAACUGCAUUCGAUACUGCUGUGCUUGAGGACUGGAGAGGAGACUGGAAUUUACGGUGUAGCGGUGAAAUGCGUAGAUAUCGUAAGGAAGACCAGUGGCGAAGGCGGGUCUCUGGACAGUUCCUGACGCUGAGGCACGAAGGUCAGGGGAGCAAACGGG